rnacentral:piRNA from 2 species
UGCUUUGGAUACUGUACCAGAAGUUGCUG